GCUAUGCGGGACAAAGUGCUACACCAAUGGGUUUGGUGGGAGCCACCUCUUGAACCCGUAGGAGCCACCUCUAGAAUCUCACAUCGCCUAGUAAUGGUCCUGGUCUGUCUGUCUGUGAUCUAGUUUGGACCCGACGAGGACGUCAGGGUCUAAACAGGGGGAGUUUGUAACACCCCCAAUAGUCCCACAUCAGAUGGGAUACUGAUUCCGAUCAGUUUAUAUGAGACCUACACGCUAGUAAUAAUAACUGGGCUUAAGCAUUUUGGGCCGACUAUUGGGCCCAACGAGUUAUUGUUGCUAGUGGGCUAGGUCGUUACAUUUGGUAUCAGAGCCGGUUCAUCAGCUGGACAUAUGUAGAGAGUCUCGGCUGAGCCAGGGUCUGGAUGAUGGGCUAGCGAGACGAGUCUCACAUCGCCUGGUGAUCUUGGGUUGUGUGUGUGAUGGACUGACGAGGACGUCAAGGCCUUAACUGUAGCACACUGGACCUUUGCAAAUUAUGAGGUUCGAGUGUUUGGACAGUGUCUUGAGCUUUUCCAGACUUUCUGGUGGGUCGUUGACAGUGUUUCGACCUAUGGCCCGUGUCCCGAGAAUUGUGGUUUAAAGUUGUGUACCAAAACCCGAAAAAUCAGAUUCUUGGCCACCUCUCGGGUUGCCUUCAGAAGUCUUGUACCGGUACAGGGUUGGUGGUUGUACCGGUACAAGGUUGAUGGUUGUACCGAUAUAGCCACCGGGCUUGUACCGGUAUAGAGCCGCGGAACCCUCCAGACCCGAGCCUCGGGUUUGUGAUUUUCGUAGGGCUUGUACCGGUACAAGGGCCCGUGUACCGGUACAAGGUGGCAGAAUUUGAGCAGUUUGAACUGCAGGGGUGUUUUUGCGAUUGUGGGUCUCUUAUAACAGCACCCACACCCCUAGGGCUGCUCUUUGAGCUUGCCAAUGCAGAGAGAAGGUAAGGCUCCUCCAUGCUUCUCCUUUGGAUUUGAUCUCUUUUUAGCUUGGGAUUUAAGUGUUGAUCCUUCUCUUUUCCCUUUUCUUUGCUUUUCCACCAUUGUGAAGCUUGGAGCUUGGUCUUGGUGGAUUGUUGAGGGCAGAUCUUGGGAUUUCAAGAGUUUAGAGCUUUGAUUGAAGCUUCUAAGAGGUAAUCCACUUAUUCUCUCCCUCUAGAUUGGAUUUUUAUUGAUGGUUUUGAGAUGAAACCCUAGAAUGAGGUUUUAGGGCUUAUUUUGGGCAUUUUGAAUUUAGGGCUUUUGGAGCUAAAUUAGUUGGAUUAAAAUCUUCCUUUGGGUUGUAUUGGGAGGAUUCUAGCUCUCUUUUGGAGCUUGAGGGAGAUUUUCUACACAUUAGGUGAGUUUUAGCCCUUUUGCCUUGUUGGUUAAUGUUUAAUUUUAUAGUUGAUUGUAAUGCCCGUGUAUCAUUUCGCUCAAUACUUUUAGGGUAUUUUGAGACUCGGGGACAACUUCGUUCGGCGAAACGAGGCACUACGCGACGGUUCGGUGGGUUUGACCUAGCCUAUAAUAUGAGAAAUUCUCAUAUAUGGCGAUAUAUGUUUCGUAAAUUGGAAAAGCAUGCAUGUUCAUACUAAAUGUAUUUAUUAUGAUUUUUAGAAUGCUUAAAAUGCCUAUGUUACAUGUAAUGAAAUUUUGGAUCUCUAUGUAGUAGAGGAUAGCAUAUGAAGCUUAUGCGGAAUUUUUGGCAUUCUUAUGUUGGAUCAUGUUCCUUAGUGUAAAAAGAGCUUCGAUUCAUGCAUUUAAACCUAAGUUUAAUUGAGUCAUGAAAGAUAACUAAUAUGCCAUAAAGAGGCACCGAACCGGAAUGUUAUGUGAUUUAGAGAGCUAAUGCCAUCAAGCGACAUUGAGCUCGGGACAUAGGUGAACCUAGUGGAUAGGGCCAUUGAGGAAUGUGGAACAUGCUUAAGUAUUGAAUGUCUAAGUGUCAUAAAGGGACACUAGACCUAGAGAACAUUGGAACUUCAUUUUGUGAUUUAGAACUAGAUCUUCGGGAUGCUAGUGACUAUACUAUGUUAGAGACAUGAUGAUUGGAUACGUGAGACGCUGACUAUGCUUGCUUGCCAUUUGUGCUCAUUCGCACAUGCUUGUGAGGGUCGCUCCCUACAAGCCGGCACUCCGGAGUUAGCCUACGCGACUUAUGUUCGCUCGUGCGGUAUUGAGAAGCCUACGGGGUCAAGUGGGACAGACACAUUCCAAGAGUAGGAAUGUCGGGCUACCACAGGCACUUAGGCAGCACAAGCUGCACUACCUUGGGUAGGCCCUUAAUUGGAAAUGAAAAUCGACACAGUGUUGAGUGUGUUUUAAUCACUACUAGAUAGAGAUUAGUAGUUGGAUUACUUGGACUUGCUUCUAGCAUAGUUUUGGACACUUGAGUACACAUAUACUUACAUGUAGUAUGCUAGGAGAUAUUGCUUAUUGCAUUCAUAUAUACAUUAUUGCCAUGAUAAAGUAUAAUCCUUAUAACUUUAAAGUGAACUGUGACACUUACGUAUAGCUAUAUAGAGACAUAUUGGUUAUGAUAAAGUAAAGGUGCAUUAUUUUUAACACCAUGUUUAAUUGCAAUAUAGUGGCUUAGCAUUUUAAUUUUGCUCUCAUAAAUGCAGUUUAUUCUUUAUUAUUGCUCUUUUGACUUACCCUUUUCUUUUGGGGCCUAGUGGUGCAUUGAGCUGAGGUCAGUAAUUGCCCACUGGGAACUAUAAAUUAUAGUUCUCACGCCCUCUGUUUUAUGUUUCUUUCAGAGCCUUCCACGCCGGGGGAGGCCAGGGAUCGCGGAAAGGGUAUCGCCUCGGGCUAGUGUUCUUCGCCGAGGGAUCGUUCGAUAGGUGGCCCACCUCUCUUUGUUUCUUUUUGUGAGAGGUUGAGAGUUGUACCAGUGUACUAGAGACCACCCUUUUGUGUACCUUUUGGGACAGAUAUUGUAUUACCUUAUGGUUUACUUUUACUGUUUAGUUGUAUCCUUUUACUUUUGCUAUAGAAGGUAGAAUCAUACUGCUUUGAUAUCAUUAGUUUUUGCUCUUUCCUUUCGGCUGUGUUUCUUGCUUUAUUUCUGCUGUUGAUGUAGACGCCUUAUAUGUGUUGACAUAUGGCGGGUCUGGGCACGCUACCGGAAGGGCCUCUGCCGGUCCCGGGGCGUGACAAAUUAAUUUGGUAUCAGAGCCUAGGGUUGAGUCUUAGUGGACCUAGCAAACCUUAGGCCGGUUGGACUAUAGGAAUUAGGCUCGUGAGAGACGAGAUCUAAUCUAUUUUUGAAAGAAAGUAUUAUGAUUGGGUUUUAUGACAACUCUAAAAAGUUAGAGUUUGAUCGAAGUGUAUGGCUUCUAACUUCGCGGAGGGUUACGUUGGCGGCCGACAACGUAACAUCGGGAGUUAGUAGUGGAGGACACUUCUUUACUUUUGCAUGAUUUGGAUUUUAUCUAUUUGAGCGGGGAUGUGGUAGCGUGGGUUACUAACUUGCACUUUUAUGUUUUGUAGUGACGAUGCCGAUUACACGCUCCCAGUCUGCCGGGGCGGAUGAUGCGGCACACCCCGAGGAGGCCGAGACCUCCGCUACUUCCGGAUCUAGUGAGGUCCGUGACUUGAGGACCUAGCUUGCGGUCCUUACUAAUCUGUUGGCGCAGCAGACGGCAGCGGCGCAGCGACAGGCUGAGGUGGCUCAGCGGCAGGAGGCGCGGAUGAAGCAUCUUGAGGACCUCCUACUUCAGCAGGCGGCAGCUUCGAGGGAGACCCAGGUUCCCACACCGCCAGCACCCGUGGUGGACGUCGCACCGAGGGCACAGUCCCCCGCGCCCAGUUCUUCACGUGCGGCACCAGCGACCACACCUCGGGAGGAGGUGGCUGCGGCACCCGCAGUUCAGAGACCGGCCACGGGGGCAGCUUUCCCCGUGAGGGCCGAGGGAGCCGAGCGGGAUUGGCUCAUGGAUCGCCUCAGUGAGUUCAGGAGGUGCAGCCCGAGGACGUUCGAUGGCAAGAACGUCGACCACUGGAUUGUUCAGAAGUGGUUGAUGCAUAUGGAGAAGCUUUUUCGAGACACCUUUGUGGAGGAGCGGGACAGAGUUUGGCUCGCCACUCACUUUCUCGACGGCGAGGCCGUUGGUGGUUGGAUAUCUAAGACAACCGCAACACUGACUUGGCAGCGAUUACUUGGACGAGGUUCAAGGAGCUCCUUCUGGCGCACUACUUCCCGACUAGCGUCAAGAGAAAGAUGGAGCAGGACUUGCGCAGCUUGAGCCAGGACGAGCGGUCUGUGGCCGAGUACGAAAGGGAGUUCUCUCGGCUACUUCACUGUGUACCGUUUGUUGUGAGGGACGACGAGGACAAGGCCCGCAUUUUUUAGCGCGGAUUGCGGCCUUCUAUUUUCCGAUUGGUGCAAUCUUCCAACCUCCAGACCUAUCGAGAGGUUGUGGAUCGAGCAUUGAUUGUAGAGGCUGGAGCGGCAGAUCUUUAGGAGCGUCGCGAGAGCUCGGAGAAGGGGAAGGAAAAGAGGCCCGCGACCGAGAGUGUGAGUCAGACGCACUCAUGGAGGCCGCCAAGGCACCCCAGGAGUCGGAGCCGGUCGCGGGGACGUGGCUCGUUUACUCAGCGAAGAGGACCCGAUCGUCACCAGGCCCCCCGCUGCGUGAUCUGUGGCGGUCCUCAUUACCCGCGGCAGUGUUCACGCAGCCGGGGCAGGUGCUUCUUGUGUGGCCAGGAGGGCCACUUUCAGUCGUACUGCCCGAGGAAUCCAUCGACAGCGCCAUCUUCGACAUCUGCACCAGCAUCGCCAGGUCCGAGUCAGGGGACAUCUUCUGCGCACCACCAGGCCGGACGGCCACCUGUUCCGUGGCAGGCGGAAGGGUCACGACAGGCCCCGAGCGGGUGCAUGUACGCGGCCCAAGCUGAGGAGGCGGCGGCAGCCGAGAAUAUGGUCGCAGGUAUCAUUUUACUUCAUGGUAUUCGAGUUAGAGCAUUGUUUGAUACCGAUGCAUCGCAUUCAUUUAUAGACCGGCUGUUUGCCGAGUUGUAUGGCAUCCCACUUGUAUCUUUGUUGCACCCGGGCCGAGUUGUUGUACCCGACCAUUCCUUGGACAUUCGGGAGUUUUGCCCCAGUUGCCCUAUUCGAGUUGGAGAUUGGAUCAUGCCCGCGGACUUACUAGUGUUGCAUAAACUCGGAGAGUUUGAUGUUGUGUUGCGCAUGGAUUGGUUGACUAAGUACUACGCCACUAUCGAUUGCAAGGAUCGAAUGGUGACAUUUAGAGAGCCGGGGCAGGCGGAGGUUGUGUACCAAGGAUGCCAGAGUUCGCUGUUUGCGAUGACGAUUAGCUCUUCUCGAGCUCGGCAGUUGAUUAGUCGAGGCUGUGUGGCCUACUUGGCUACUGUUGUGUUGAGGGGUGAUGAUGAUACCCCCAGGAUUGAGGAUAUCCCCGUAGUGCGGGAGUUUGGAAAUGUGUUCCAAGCUGAGCUUCCGGGCACGCCACCGGAUAGGGAGAUUGAGUUUGUAGUGGAUCUCGUUCCCGGGACCACACCAAUCUCAAAGGCGCCCUAUAGGAUGGCACCAGAAGAAUUGAAGGAGCUGAAGGCACAGUUGCAGGAUCUUCUGGACAAGGGUUUUGUGCGACCGAGUGUGUCACCUUAGGGAGCACCGGUCCUAUUUGUUAAGAAAAAGGAUGGAUCACUUCGUUUGUGCGUGGACUAUCGUGAAAUUAACAAAGUCAUGAUCAAGAAUAAGUAUCCAUUGCCGAGGAUCGACGAUCUAUUUGAUCAGCUACAGGGCUCUAGUGUGUAUUCCAAGAUCGACCUACAGUCGGGAUAUCACCAGUUGAAAAUUAAGCCUGAGGAUGUGUCGAAGACGGCUUUUAGAACACGGUAUGGACAUUAUGAGUUUACCGUUAUGCCGUUUGGGCUUACUAAUGCCCCGACAGCUUUUAUGGAUCUAAUGAACCGUGUUUUCAAGCCUUUUUUAGACAGGUUCGUUGUGGUAUUCAUCGACGACAUCUUAGUGUAUUCCCGGAGUGAUGCGGACCACGAGGAGCAUUUAAGGCUUGUACUUCAAGUGCUUCGGGAAAAGAAACUCUAGCCAAGUUGAAGAAGUGUGAAUUUUGGCUUAGGGAGGUGGCGUUUUUGGGCCAUUUGAUUUCAGGAUCAGGCAUAGCUGUGGACCCGAGAAAAAUUGAAGCUAUCAAGGAUUGGCUGAGGCCGACGAGUGUGACCGAGAUACGGAGCAUUCUUGGCUUGGCCGGCUACUACCGACGAUUUGUCGAGGGGUUUGCAAGAUUAUCUACUCUCCUCACGAGGCUCACGCAUAAAGGCACCAAGUUCAUUUGGAAUGAUGCGUGCGAAAGGAGCUUCCAAGAGUUGAAGCAGAGACUAACUACCGCCCCGAUCCUAACCUUGCCAGUUACUGGAGCAGGGUAUGUGAUUUAUAGCAAUGCUUCCUUUAAUGGAUUGGGAUGUGUUUUGAUGCAGGACGGGAAGGUGAUCGCGUAUGCUUCUCGCCAACUAAAGGAUUAUGAGAGGAACUAUCCUACUCACGACUUGGAAUUGGCGGCCGUGGUCUUUGCAUUGAAGCUAUGGCGCCACUACUUGUACGGCGAGCAAUGUGAAGUGUAUACGGAUCACAAGAGCUUAAAGUAUUUAUUCACUCAGAAGGAGUUGAACUCGAGGCAGCGUAGAUGGUUGGAGCUACUCAAGGAUUAUGAUCUGACGAUUCUCUACCACCCAGGCAAGGCUAACGUGGUGGCUGAUGCGCUAAGUAGGAAAUCAACGGAAAACUUAGCGAUGUUUGUGGUGAUUCAACCGCCGUUGAUCGAGCAGAUGAAGCGGUUGGAGUUGGAGGUGGUGGCUCCUGACACACCUUUGAGGCUGAUGACUUUGGUGGUGCAACCUACACUUAUGGAAAGGCUUAAAGAAAAGCAAGCUUCUGAUGUGGUGUUACAAAAGAUUCGAGCUAAGAUGAUUGAUGGUUGCGUCGGUGAUUUCACUUUGGACGGUGAUGGAUUGAUGUGAUUCCGCGGACGGUUGUGUGUACCGGCGGACUUGGGCAUUAAAGAGGAUAUUCUUCAAGAAGCACACCGAGCACUGUAUGCUAUACAUCCGGGAGGCACCAAGAUGUACAAGAACUUGAAGUUGCUUUAUUGGUGGCCCGGGAUGAAGAAGGAUGUUGGUGAGUUUGUCGCUAGAUGUUUAACUUGCCAACAGGUGAAAGCUGAGCACCGAGUUCCUGCGGGAAAGUUUCAGAGCCUACCGAUUUCAAUAUGGAAGUGGGAGAAGAUCACCAUGGAGUUCGUGAUGGGAUUGCCUCUCUCACAGGCCGGGCAUGACGCUAUUUGGGUGAUCGUGGAUAGGCUGACAAAAUCGGCCCAUUUCAUACCUAUCCACACUACUUGAACUGGUGAGAGACUCGCACAGGUUUAUUUGAAUGAGAUUGUGCGAUUGCACGGGGCACCUACUUUUAUAGUAUCAGAUCGAGAUCCCCGUUUUGUAUCCCACUUUUGGAGGAGCUUACAGGAUACUUUAGGUACGCGCUUGGAUUUCAGCACUGCUUUCCACCCCCAGAGUGACGGGCAGUCGGAGCGUACUAUACAGACUCUCGAGGAUAUACUUCAAGCUUGUGUGAUCGACUUCCAGGGAGGAUGGUCGUAGCAUCUACCUAUGGUAGAGUUUGCUUAUAACAAUAGUUAUCAAGCAAGCAUCAAGAUGGCACCUAUCGAGGCACUUUAUGGACGGAAAUAUAGAUCGCCACUUCAUUGGUGUGAAGUUGGCGAGAGAAUAGCUUUAGGCCCCGAUGUGCUCCAGAAAGCAGAGGACAAAGUUCGCAUUGCUAGGGAGCGACUAUUGACAGCCCAGAGUAGGCAAAAGAGUUAUGCUGAUAAGCGUCGACGAGACUUGGAGUUUCAGAUUGGAGAUCAUGUCUUCUUGAAAGUCUCGCCGACCAGAGGGAUUAGGAGAUUUGGAAUUCGGGGUAAGUUGAGCCCCCGAUACAUUGGACCGUAUGAGAUUCUGGAAAGUGUAGGCCCGGUAGCGUAUACACUUGCUCUACCGCCAAACCUAUUGGGUGUAUACAAUGUAUUCCAUGUAUCGGUCCUUCGGAAGUAUAUCCACGACCCGGCUCAUGUGUUGGAUGCUACACCAGUAGAGCUGAGGGACGAUCUGAGCUUUGAAGAACAACCCUUGAGGAUUUUGGCUCGCGAGGUAAAGAGGUUGCGGAACCGAGAGAUUCCCUACGUGAAGGUGCUUUGGAGCAAGCACGACGAGCGCGAGGCCACUUGGGAGUUGGGGAGCGCACUGCGGAAGCGCUAUCCCCAUCUUUUUUGGAUGGAGGCUUAAGGUACUUUGCCUUUUUCGAGUUUCGCGGACGAAACUCCUUUUUAGGAGGGGUGAAUGUAGCACACUAGACCUUUACAAAUUGGGAGGUUCGAGUGUUUGGACAGUGUCCUGAGCUUUUCUAGACUUUCUGGUGGGUCGUUGACAGUGUUCCGAUCUAUGGCCCAUGUCCCGAGAAUUGUGGUUUAAAGCUGUGUACCAAAACCCGAAAAAUCGGAAUCUUGGCCAGCUCUCGGGUUGCCUUCAGAGGGUCUUGUAACGGUACAAGGUUGGUGGUUGUACCGGUACAAGGUUGAUGGUUGUACCGGUACAGCCACCGGGCUUGUACCGGUACAGAGCCGCGGAACCCCCCAGACCAGAGCCUCGGGUUUGUGAUUUUCGAGGGGAUUGUACCGGUACAAGGGCCCGUGUACCGGUACAAGGGCCCGUGUACCGGUACAAGGUGGCAGAAUUUGAGCAGUUUGAACUGCAGGGGUAUUUUUGCGAUUGUGGGUCUCUUAUAACAGCACCCACGCCCCUAGGGCUGCUCUUUGAGCUUGCCACUACAGAAAGAAGGUAAGGGGAGCUCCUCCAUGCUUCUCUCUUGGAUUUGAUCUCUUUUUAGCUUCGGAUUUAAGUGUUGAUCCUUCUCUUUUCCCUUUUCUUUGCUUUUCCACCAUUGUGAAGCUUGGAGCUUGGUCUUGGUGGAUUGUUGAGGGAAGAUCUUGGGAUUUCAAGAGUUUAGAGCUUUGAUUGAAGCUUCUAAGAGGUAAUCCACUUAUUCUCUCCCUCUAGAUUGGAUUUUUAUUGAUGGUUUUGAGAUGAAACCGUAGAAUGAGGUUUUAGGGCUUAUUUUGGGCAUUUUGAAUCUAGAAUUUUUUGAGCUAAAUUAGUUGGAUUAGAAUCUUCCUUUGGGUUGGAUUGGGAGGAUUCUAGCUCUCUUUUGGAGCUUGAGGGAGAUUUUCUACACAUUAGGUAAGUUUUAGCCCUUUUGCCUUGUUGGUUAAUGUUUAAUUUUAUAGUUGAUCGUAAUGCCCGUGUAUCUCUUCGCUCAAUACUUUCAGGGUAUUUUGAGACUCGGGGACAACUUCGUUCGGCGAAACGAGGCACUACGCGACGGUUUGGUGGGUUUGACCUAGCCUAUAAUAUGAGAAAUUCUCAUAUAUGGCGAUAUAUGUUUCGUAAAUUGGAAAACUAUGCAUGUUCAUACUAAAUGUAUUUAUUAUGAUUUUUAGAAUGCUUAAAAUGCCUAUGUUACAUGUAAUGAAAUUUUGGAUCUCUAUGUAGUAGAGGAUAGCAUAUGAAGCUUAUGCGGAAUUUUUGGCAUUCUUAUGUUGGAUCAUGUUCCUUAGUAUAAAAAGAGCUUCGAUUCAUGCAUUUAAACCUAAGUUUAAUUGAGUCAUGAAAGAUAACUAAUAUGCCAUAAAGAGGCACCGAACCGGAAUGUUAUGUGAUUUAGAGAGCUAAUGCCAUCAAGCGACAUUGAGCUCGGGACAUAGGUGAACCUAGUGGAUAGGGCCAUUGAGGAAUGUGGAACAUGCUUAAGUAUUGAAUGUCUAAGUGUCAUAAAGGGGCACUAGACCUAGAGAACAUUGGAACUUUAUUUUGUGAUUUAGAACUAGAUCUUCGGGAUGCUAGUAACUAUACCAUGUUAGAGACAUGAUGAUUGGAUACGUGAGACGCUGACUAUGCUUGCUUGCCAUUUGUGCUCAUUCGCACAUGCUUGUGAGGGUCGCUCCCUACAAGCCGGCACUUCGGAGUUAGCCUACGCGACUUAUAUUCGCUCGUGCGGUAUUGAGAAACCUACGGGGUCGAGUGGGACAGACACAUUCCAAGAGUAGGAAUGUCGGGCUACCACAGGCACUUAGGUGGCACAAGCUGCACUACCUUGGGUAGGCCCUUAAUUGAAAAUAAAAAUCGACACAGUAUUGAGUGUGUUUUAAUCACUACUAGAUAGAGAUUAGUAGUUGGAUUACUUGGACUUGCUUCUAGCAUAGUUUUGGACACUUGAGUACACAUACUUAUAUGUAGUAUGCUAGGAGAUAUUGCUUAUUGCAUUCAUAUAUACAUUGUUGCCAUGAUAAAGCAUAAUCCUUAUAAAUUUAAAGUGAACUGUGACACUUACGUGUAGCUAUGCAGAGACAUAUUGGUUAUGAUAAAGUAAAGGUGCAUUAUUUUUAACACACAUGUUUAAUUGCAAUAUAGUUGCUUAGCAUUUUAAUUUUGCUCUCAUAAAUGCAGUUUAUUCUUUAUUAUUGCUCUUUUGACUCACCUUUUUCUUUUGGGGCCUAGUGGUGUAUUGAGCUGAGGUCAGUAAUUGCCCACUGAGAACUAUAAAUUAUAGUUCUCACGCCUCUGUUUUAUGUUUUCUUUCAGAGCCUUCCACGCCGGGGGAGGCCAGGGAUCGCGGAAAGGGUAUCGUCUCGGGCUAGUGUUCUUAGCCAAGGGAUCGUUCGAUAGGUGGCCCACCUCUCUUUGUUUCUUUUUGUGAGAGGUUGAGAGUUGUACCAGUGUACUAGAGACCACCCUUUUGUGUACCUUUUGGGACAGAUAUUGUAUUACCUUAUGGUUUACUUUUACUGUUUACUUGUAUCAUUUUACUUUUGCUAUAGAACGUAGAAUCAUACUGCUUUGAUAUCAUUAGUUUUUGCUCUUUCCUUUCGGCUAUGUUUCUUGCUUUAUUUUCGCUGUUGAUGUAGACGCCUUAUAUGUGUUGACAUAUGGCGGGUCUGGGCACGCUACCGGGAGGGCCUCUGCCGGUCCCGCGGCGUGACAUUAACGGGGGGAGUCUGUGACACCCCAAUAAUCCCACAUCGGAUGGGAAUGGGGUUGUCAUUGGGUUUAUAAGAGACUUAGACACUUGUAAUAAUAACUGGGCUUAAGCAUUUUGGGCAGGUGGUUUGGGCCCAACGAGUUAUUAUUGCUAGUGGAUCGGGUCGUUGCAAUUGGUAUCAGAGCCAAAUACCAGCCGGCAGUGUGAGAACUAAGUGCUAUGCGGGACAAAGUGCUACACCAAUGGGUUUGGUGGGAGCGACCACUUGAACCCGUAGGAGCCACCUCUAGAAUCUCACAUCGCCUGGUAAUGGUCCUGGUCUGUCUGUCUGUGAUCUGGUUUGGACCCGACGAGGACGUCAGGGUCUAAACAGGGGGACUUUGUAACACCCCCAAUAGUCCCACAUCGGAUGGGAUACUUAUUCCGAUCAGUUUAUAUGAGACCUACACGCUAGUAAUAAUAACUGGGCUUAAGCAUUUUGGGCCGGUUGUUGGGCCCAACGAGUU
rnacentral:lncRNA from 1 species